rnacentral:tRNA from 1 species
AGGGGUAUAGCUCAGUGGUAGAACACAUGCUUAGCAUGCACGAGGUCCUGGGUUCAAUCCCCAGUACCUCUG